ensembl:lncRNA
CAGAGAAGACAGAUGCGUCCCGAUCCCUCAUGAUCCCUCACACCCUGGCAUGUGGCCAGAUUCAGGGUUUUCAGAAACAGGUUGGUGCCCUACUUCUUAAUGCAGAAUGACAGGCUCCUGCAAAGUUCACCCUACUUCCAGAGGUCAUCCAGACAUGUGUCACAGGAGCUCACCACAUGGUGGCUGCCAGGCACCAUUGCCCUUCUGUGGUGGUGAGGGGGUGUGUCACCACAUCUAAUGAGAAUGACAAUGGUAAUUUGCUGGAUAUCCUUAACAGACAUUUUUGGAACCCCGUGGGCUAAGCACAGAACAAGGCACUUUUCAAAAACUAAGUGCAAUGUCUCUUGGAAUCUUGUCCUGUUAGUAAAGAAUCAACCAGGUGAUGACCUUCCCAGCGCGUCGGCCUUAAGUUUGCUGGUGACAUUCCAGAGACAGGUAAGUUUCAUCCUCACUCCACUGUGGCCACUGCUCCCAUGCCACACACUGGGCUUUGUCAGCCCUCGGAACUCACUGCCCUCCUCUGAAAUCCCUGGAUGUGACUCUGCUGUCACAUCCUCUUACCCACCACCAGGCUUGGCCCCCUGCUCCCAGCCCACUUGCUUUUUGAAGUCAUGGAGACCAGUCAUCUCCUGACUUUUUCUUGCUAACCUCCCCAGGGGCUUCACUUCUCUUGCCAACCCUAGGAUAUAUCACUUCCACCUUCUUCUCACCAGCACCCUCAGGGUCUUACAAUCCUACAAAAGCUCAUUCGUGCUUCAAUAUAAUGAAUCAUUUGCCUCAUGUCUUCUCUCAACUGAGUUCAGAUGAAGUAACCUGCCAACUGGGUGCCUCGGGCCCCCACAGGUGUAUGAUCUAUGGCCUCAGCUGAGCCCUCAGGUUCCUGAGCAUGCUUUAAUAUAGCCAAGUGAGCUCUCCCAGCAACCAGUGAAAUAUUGCAUGGUUUCUCCAGUCUCCUCCCUCAUGCCAACCUCUCUUGCUCAGCAGAUAACCUGUCUUCUAGCUCACAGAGUGGUGCAAAGCUCUCAGAAAGCUCUGACCUCUCCCAGAGACAUUCCCUUCUGGACCUACUGUGUGACUUUGUCCCUCAAGGCUCAAGAAGGAGGCAUCAUCCUGGUACUACAGGCUCACUCUUGCUCUGGGCCCUUGAUCCGCUCUUUGCCUAUGGUGCCUGGAUCAACAUCUGGCUCCAGUGAGUUGUUCCUCCCUCUCUCAUACUUUCAAGUACUCCUUCUUUACUGGUUCCUCCUAUAGUGGUUCCUUUAAUUGAGGAACCACUCAAUUAAACACUGAGUGUGUUUUAAUUCUCAUACUUUUUUUUAAAGGUCUCUAACCACAUCCUUUCAAUGACUGGACCCUGAUUGUUUUCCUCCCAUUGGCAGACAGGUUUCUGGUGAAGAGUACAUACUUACUGCCUCUAUUUGUUGACCCCCACGUGCUCUUGCACUCCCUGCAGGCAGCCCCAGGCCCCCGCUCCCCUCCAACUGCAGGAGACACCUGCAAUUCUCAGAACAGGCUGUGCAGGCCACUCUUUGAUGUCAUUGUUCCCCAUGCUCACUUUCUCCCUUGUCCACCUGGCAAGCAACACUUAUUUCAAAACAGCCUCUGAGAAGCCUUUCUGGACCCUUCCUCCCUCCUCCGCCCACCAGGCAGAAAUGGUCACUCCUCCAUUGUGUUUCCAGCUGUCCCUCGAGUCACAGUGACUGUGACCAUUUCCUUUCCAUGUUUUCAUGCUCCCCACCUCCCACCCCGGAAUGUAUUAUAAGUUGCCAGAGAGCUAGGACUGUGUCUUAACUGGAUUCACAUUCCCAGUGCCCAGAAUACCUGGUGCACCUCCAUGACCUGUGUUCAGUGAGUGAGUGAAUAGAUUUUAUCUAGGUAUAAAGAAGUCUCCCCACAUGGCAGUGGUGGAGGUGGACAAUCUACCCUGUGACAUCCCGGUAGCAGACACAUAAUCCCAAACAGUUUCUUCUAGGUCUCUGAGCAUGCAUGGCACUUUCUAGACGCUAUCUCCUUCUCCCUUAUAGCAACUCCGAGGCAGGUAUGUUUGACAGAAGAGGAAACUGAGGCUCAGGGAGCUUAAGGAAGCUUGCCCUGGUUACACAGCUGAUAGUAGGGGAAGCAGGAUACCAGCUCAGCUCUGGCUCCUUUCUGUGCACCCCAGCACCCCUACUUUACCCAGCCACUGUGUGCUUAUUGACUGCCACCUCAUUAACUAUCAGCCUUUAGAAACAUAAUGAAGAUGGCAGGUCAGAAGCAAAAGUGCUAAGUAGCACAUUCACACCCCAGUAGAGCCACAAAUGCUUGAGGGUUAUCAAUGUUCGAGACUGUGAAUUUGUGCUUUUAUUUUGUUAACUUAACAACUACCAUUCCUUUAAUUAACAAGUCAGCCUUAUCAAGGAAUUAGACUUUACCAGAAAAGUCAGCAGUCAUGGCCUGGGAAGCCCUUCAACGCUGUUCACGAAGGUAUGAGUGCCCUCUGUUAUUCUUCCUAACACUCCUGCCCUGGGACAGGCUAAGAAAUCCCCUAAGUUGACUCUAGCUGCCAACCCCCACCUCGUAGCAUCUGCACCAGCUCCCCGUUGGGCCCCCUCUGCUCUGCCAACGGCUUCCCUGGGGAGAGGGGAAAGAGGGUCUGUCCCCUCAAGGAAACUUGGAGGAGUCUUUUGCCUCCUGAGCCCAUCAGUUCCUGUCCUCCUCCCCACUCUUCCCUUUUUGUUUAGUUUGACCUUGGUCACUGAUGACAAGGCUUCUUUUCCUGCCAAACCAAUCAAUAAGCUAAACAGACAGAAGAUGAGUAUUUAGAAUAUGGGAAGCCAAACUCAAACACAGAUAGGUUAUCAGUCUAGUCCAGAGCAGACUUCUGAGCAAAUAUUUCAUUAACAAAUUUUUCAUGGCAACUUGCAUGUUAAAAAAAAAAGAGGGGGGAGGGAGAGACAGAGAGAGAGAACAGGAGUGGGGGGUUAAGGAAAAGGCUGGCUGAAUCCUGAGCUGCCCUGGGAGGAGCUACUUCUAGGUGUUAGGGGCACAGAGUGGGCAGAAGGAUGGGAUGGCAGACAGGAGCUCUCAGGAAGGGGAGCCCCAGCCCCUUAAAAUCUUUCAACUUCAAACCUCCCUCUCCUUGCAGGGCCAGCCAGGGAGAGUCAUCUUCAGCCAUCUCCAUGGCACUGGAGUCUGGUUAGGUUUCCUGGAUACAAACCCCAGUUGGGUAGUCAGCAGCUGGCUGCAGAGCCCUGGACUGGUUGCACCGAGGGGGCUCAGGACAGGGCAGGUGUUGGGUUCUUAGAGAGCCCCAUUGGGGAGCUGGGGGGUGCAUAGGGAACACUAAAUGUAAUAAUAAUAAGAGCUCCUGCUAAGUUGUCGGCACCCUCAAAGGCUCUCCAGUAUCCAUCAAUUAACCCUCAAGACCAGGCCCAAGCUGUGGGAGACACUGGUACUCAUGCCCUCUGGUGUCUGAAUGACGGCUCAAUAUUUUGAAUAUCAUACAUUACUCAUGACAACCCUAAAAGUAAAGUACUUUGGUUUUAAUGCAUAGGCGAGGACCCUGAGAUUCAGAGAGGUUAAGCAACUUGUUCAAGUUUGAACAGCUGGUAAAUAGCAGGGGCAGAAUUGGGAAUAAGGCCUGUCUGAUUCCAAAGACAGUUUUCAGCUCAUUUCUACUCCUUCAACAAUAGCUUUAAGAACACUUUAAAGGGAGGGGCCAAAUCCACAUCUGGCUCUUAAUUUCAGCACAGGUUGUGAUCUCGGGGUCCUAGCAUGAAGCCCUGGGUCAGGCACCAUGCUGAACAUGGAGCCUGCUUGAGAUUCUCUCUCUCCCUCUCUCUUUGCCUCCUCCCCCCAAGAUAAAUAAAUAAUCUUUAAAAAAAAUACUUUAAAGGGAG